CCUACGGGAGGCAGCAGUGGGGAAUAUUGCACAAUGGGCGAAACUCUGAUGCAGCGACGCCGCGUGAGUGAAGACGUAUUUCGGUAUGUAAAGCUCUAUCAGCAGGGAAGAGAAUGACGGUACCUGAGUAAGAAGCCCCGGCUAACUACGUGCCAGCAGCCGCGGUAAUAUGUAGGCGGCAAGCGUUAUCCGGAUUUACUGGGUGUAAAGGGAGCGUAGACGGCGAAGAAAGUCUGAAGUGAAAGCCCGCGGCUCAACCGCGGAACUGCUUUGGAAACUUUUUGGCUGGAGUACCGGAGAGGUAAGCGGAAUUCGUAGUGUAGCGGUGAAAUGCGUAGAUAUUAGGAGGAACACCAGUGGCGAAGGCGGCUUACUGGACGGUAACUGACGUUGAGGCUCGAAAGCGUGGGGAGCAAACAGGAUUAGAUACCCCUGUAGUC
rnacentral:rRNA from 1 species